UGAUUUCACUGGCAAUCAUCUUAAUGGCUCAAUACCAUCAGAAUUGGGAUCAUUGCGUCAUUUACUAAAUUUGGCACUUGGCAUAAAUAAUCUUUUUAGUCAUAUUCCAAAAGAAAUUGGAAACCUUGUGAGUUUAAAGAAAUUGGACUUAGUUUCAAACAAUCUAUAUGGACGACUACCAAAAUCACUUGUAAAUUUGACCAACCUUGAGAAAAUG